GGUGAUGGUCCCUAGUAACUCUAGCGAACUCCUUGAAUGUCAAAUGAUCACCAAUCAACCCAAGAAAUGGCAAGCAACAAGGAGGGAAAGAAUGUGAUGUUAACACCUUUUCGGACAUUUUAGUCAUCGUCCUGCUACCACCUACCUUGCCAUUGCCCCAGUUGAAGGUUUCAGUCUAAGGGAGAAGUUUCAGCUCUUCCCUACCAGUUAAUAAA
rnacentral:misc_RNA from 1 species